AAUCUGAUCUAACGACUGAUCUAAAAGGAGAACCCUAGCUUUCUACUCCUCGUCUCUCUUCCAAGCGCCUCCCUCUGUCUUUCAUUUCCAAACACACUCCCUCUCUUCAAAUCGUCAUUCGUCCAUACGGAGCCUCCAAAAUUCCAAAUCCUGUAUCGUCGUCCUCGACAUCAUACUGCCGACGUCGUGCCGCUGUCCCGCCGUAGUCUGCUGUCCGUCCUCGCCAUCGUCCGUAAUCGACGUCGGCCGUCGUCCUCUGUCCUCGCCAUCGACGUCGUCCGCCGUCCUCUGUCCUCGCCAUCGACGUUGUCUGCUUUCCCGCCGUCCUCGUCAUCGUCUGUGCCGCUGUCCCUCCGUCGUCGUCUGUGCCGCUGUCCCUCCGUCGUCGUCUGCUGUCCCAUCGGUAGGAUACAUCUGUCCAUCAACUGAUUUUGAAGACAACACUCUCAUUCUCAAGUCUCUUUCGACCGAAAUUAUAUAUCAGAUCUAAGAAUCUAGGCAUGCCUCCUCAAUCAUCAGGAUGACAUUGCUGCAACUGCAUAAUCUCAAAAGAGCAAUUGAUGACAUGGAAGAAGUGAAUGCUGAAGAUCCUGUGCUUCCAACUAUCUUCUAAGUGUCUCCCCGCGGGGUACUUCCGGAUCAAUGGUCGCACUGCCGUGCUUCCAUCCGUGAACUUGUUUUAAGUAAGACAGUGCAUGGAAUUCAUUUUCACUAGCUAUGACAAAACUUGUUACACCUAGCAAAUACUCCACUUCGGUCUCCAGAUGAAUCCUACUAGUUUUGUCAUAGCUAGUGAAAAUGACUUAUUUAAAAUAAGUUCGCGAUGGAAGCACGGCAGUGCGACCAUUGAUCCGAGAGUACCCCAUGGGCUGCAGGAGACACUUAGAAGAUGGUUGCAAGUGAAUAGUGAAGAUCAACUUGCAGAGCUCAGGAUUAAUCUGCAGAGAGAAGUGGACACUUUGCUACCUGUAUCUAGUUUUAUUAUAGCUAAUCAAGAUAAUUUUUUCGCUUUCCUAAGCAAAAUAGUUAAGACUUAAACUACCAAAUCCCUGUUAUGAUAAACUCGUACUCACGGACAUCAAAGUCUAAAAAUCACUUGUACUUUGUGCGCAUUAUGAUAAACUCAGUACUCGUACAUCAAAGUCUUUGUAUGUUGUCUGACUUUAUUGUUAAUAUAAAUUGUUAGUUUGUUUUUA